CCUACGGGAGGCAGCAGUGGGGGAUAUUGCACAAUGGGGGAAACCCUGAUGCAGCGACGCCGCGUGAGUGAAGAAGUAUUUCGGUAUGUAAAGCUCUAUCAGCAGGGAAGAAAAAAGACGGUACCUGACUAAGAAGCCCCGGCUAACUACGUGCCAGCAGCCGCGGUAAUACGUAGGGGGCAAGCGUUAUCCGGAUUUACUGGGUGUAAAGGGAGCGUAGACGGCAAUACAAGUCGGAAGUGAAAUACCCGGGCUCAACCUGUGGCCUGCAUUUGAAACUGUGUUUCUUGAGUACUGGAGAGGCAGACGGAAUUCCUAGUGUAGCGGUGAAAUGCGUAGAUAUUAGGAGGAACACCAGUGGCGAAGGCGGUCUGCUGGACAGCAACUGACGCUGAGGCGCGAAAGCGUGGGGAGCAAACAGGAUUAGAUACCCCAGUAGUC
rnacentral:rRNA from 1 species